AUUGAACGCUGGCGGCAUGCCUUACACAUGCAAGUCGAACGGCAGCAUGGAGAGCUUGCUCUCUGAUGGCGAGUGGCGAACGGGUGAGUAAUGCAUCGGAACGUACCGUGUAAUGGGGGAUAACGUAGCGAAAGUUACGCUAAUACCGCAUACGACCUGAGGGUGAAAGCAGGGGAUCGCAAGACCUUGCGUUAUACGAGCGGCCGAUGUCAGAUUAGCUAGUUGGUGAGGGAAAGGCUCACCCAGGCGACGAUCUGUAGCGGGUCUGAGAGGAUGAUCCGCCACGCUGGGACUGAGACACGGCCCAGACUCCUACGGGAGGCAGCAGUGGGGAAUUUUGGACAAUGGGGGCAACCCUGAUCCAGCCAUGCCGCGUGAGUGAAGAAGGCCUUCGGGUUGUAAAGCUCUUUCGGCCGGGAAGAAAUCGCACAGGCUAAUACUCUGUGUGGAUGACGGUACCGGCAUAAGAAGCACCGGCUAACUACGUGCCAGCCGCCGCGGUAA
rnacentral:rRNA from 1 species